rnacentral:rRNA from 1 species
UCACAGAAUCCAAAAUUCAGAGCAAGUUGGAAGCAUUAAUGACUGUGAA